AACCGGCAAGAUCGUACUCAUGGAACGAGGUUGAGUAACAAUACGUAUGUUUUGAUUAUGCGCAAAUGGCAUCACAGCUGGAUGUGCUACAGGCUUUGAAAAGUAUCCCAGUUUGGGAAUGAGAUAGAACCUCGUGUUUUCGUGCCUGUUGACCCUAAGAAAUUCCUGCUAUGCUUGUUCUUUGUGGGCUUGAGAAGAAAAAUGAUGUAUAAGAUGAAUAUAACUCGUUUUCUGCUCGAGGACAAGAAAGAUGACUGUGUUCUUGGUCUGUCCUUGAUUCACCUCUGUCCUGAUGGGCGUGAUCACCAAGGAGACAUUUGAUAACAGGCUUUGGUGCCACUGUGGUGACUGGUCGGAUGCUUGGUGUUGCAUUGGCAGCACCAGACUGCUUUGUUCUACCAAGCCGAUAAUGCUUUGACCACUGUUGGCAAACCAAGUACUUGGAUGAAGGAGACGAGACCCUCAAGACUGCAAGGCUGAUCGUCGCUGUUGCAAUUUUGUGCUUGCCAAGUGGUGUCAUCUGCACCAAGAACAAUUUCUGUUUCUACAAGGAGGACAUUAUUCCACAGCUAGUAUGCCAGUAGGUGUCAUUGAGGAGUGUGUGGUUAGAGCUCUCAUCAGAGGAACGUCUAUGGCAGUGCAGAGGAGAGAGAGUCAUAAGACCGGAGAUCUAGCUGAGGGUGCCGUGGUCCCUAAGUUGCCUUGGUGUACCCGUCAGUUCGGCAGUCCUCUGUGGAUAUGCUGCAGUUUAGAUAAGAUGCUUCGGAAAACUGUGAGGAGGGAUCGCACUCCGUCGUCUUCUGCUGUUGACAAUUCACCCAUGGCCAGUCCGUUUGCUGUACACUCGUUUAUGAACAGAUUUGCCGGUUUACUGCUGAAGCCACUUGCAAAAAAAAAAAAGAACUGGAAGGACACUGAGAGUAACAUUGGCCUUAAAAGAAAGAGUUAUGGAUGGAACAGUGGUGUAACUUGGAGGAUAUCAACAACAAAUGAAUAUCACUUUUGAAACUCCUCCAUCACAGCUGAACCGUUCGGCAUAAAGUGUUCAAAUUGACUUUGCUCGAUCCAAUUCUUGAAUUUAACUUGGAACCAAGAGAUAUACUAUAUAAUCUUUUGGGAUUUCAUAACAGUGGAAAAGGACAAAUUCCUCCACUGAUCAAACCUUUUUUAAGUCCACAUUUUUGAGUUUCCUUGAUUUGACUUUAUUUUGUCACUGACAUGGUGCAGAGAAAAAAUGCACAAAACUAACCGGCAGAAGUUACACCACUGGGACAAGGCUAGACCUUUAUCAGGAAGAGAAACCAUGCUCCACUGUAACCUUAUGGACCAUGGUAUUUUUAGUCCUUAGUAUUUUUUCUACAUAAGAUUUCACAACCUGCCCUCGCUACAGUCACUAAAAAAGGACAUCCAACAUUUUUAACACAAGUUCCAUAACCCCAGAAGGAACAUGAAGGACUCUCAUUAUUGAAACUGGUAGUAUGAGAAAUUGUUCCAAUUUGUACCAUUUGUGCUUGCGAAAUAUUUUACUUUCAUUUUCUUAUCUCGGCAAAGCACUGUGUUACCUGAGCAGAUUUUUGCGCGUACACUGUACCUGAGGGCAGGUUCCCCUAAAGGAAGUUUAAUUUCUAAGUAAUCCUAAAAAUGCCAAAGUGGUAAAACCUUCAACAGCUACAUGUACGUGUAAGAUGGGUACGGUCCUCUACAACCACACAUUGACAGUGUUGUCCUUUGAGAAGGAUUCUGUUUUGUCAGUUCACACACCUGUACUGGUACAUGUAGAGUGUGCCAGAUCACUGUAGUCAGCAAAAAGGCUGGAGCAGUUGUGUUGUCUAACUUGUCUAAAAUGGAAGAUUUCCUGAAAGAGUGAAGUUACAGUAUCCUGUAAAGUUAAUGGUAUCAAGGUAAUUCUUAGGAUGUUAGAAAACAAGAGACCUCUUUUAACAUGUAAAAAUGCUCAUUAUGCAUACUUCUCAAAAUAAGUCCUUUUUUAGUUUAGAUGAGCUGUAUCAAAGCAAACUCUGAUGAUCUGCAGUUGUUCAACUUUUCCAACCCCCCCCUCAAAAAGGUGCACUCUAAUUCUCAGUUGUGUCUAAAGUAAGCAGGAAUUUUAAAAACCCAUCUUACACGUACUACCCAGAGUGUAAUCAGCACCAAUUGAAACUGCCCAGAUUCAUGCUGUGAAAACUCUGAAAGUUGGCGGACAAAAGCCGCUGUAGUUUGUGCGUGUGCCAACUUUAGCUUCUGCAAAGCUAUCACUAAACUCAUUUCUACAUAAAACCUCUCCAAUUCAUCUGAAAACAGUCGCUGAGUUUUCCAGCAUCAGUAGCCUCCAGUUCAUACAUUCUCUUUUAAAGAAAUACAUGUGUUGCUUGUGCAUGCAUGCAAUGUGAUCAUGUUAAUGCAAAAAGGUAACAUGAAAAUCAAUGUGUGUGUGUUUUUUUUUAAGAAAAAGCAUUUCAAGUGUUUCCUGCCAUGUAAGUGCUGAUUAUACCCUGUUUUAAUUGAUGUGUUGAACGUUGACUCUAAUUUACACAUUUCUUAUGUUUUACCACCAGGCAAACCGAAAUAAAAACCAAAGCCCAGCCACAUGCAGGCCCUCCUGGUGCGUGCACGUGUGUUCCCUGCCCGCAGACGCUGACAGGUUGGUGGUUGCCCGCUAUCUGCAUUGGCUUGUGAAUCGGCUGUUGGUGAUGUAUACAACCUCCCUAAAUCUUGUGAGUCUGGGUGAUUGUGGAUACCUCAGUAGACAGCAACAUGGUAAGGAUCCUCUGAACUUUGGCAAUUGGUCAGUUUGUCUACCAAGCAGAUGUGCAUGACCACUGCUCUAGGGAUGGCAGUUCAAAGAGAACACCCGUGCAUCGACCCCGUCAUUGCUCACUUGACUUUUCAAGAGUUCUCCAACAUCUCUGUCCUUGAUCUGAGAAAAUGAGAGUUUACAAAAUGGUUGACUUUUUGUAGGCUUCCUUGGAUAUUCAACAGUGUCAAAGGAUGUUAGGUUGGUUGAUUACGCCCUCGUUCACGGCGAAAAGUCCAUUUAACUCAGCAGUCUCUCUGCUGUUAUAUGCACAUGUUCCAGUGUCACUUUGCAAGCAGCGUGGAGUCUAAAACACUUUGGAGUGCACUAGCAUAAAAAAAUUAAAAAAAAAACUGAAGUAGCACGUCGCAGCAUGUCAUUGAAUCAGGAAGAGUGCAGGCUUUACAUGAAAAGUUAAAUCCAAAAGCUACUGGAAUAUUGGUUCUUUUUAGCAAACUUGUUAAGUCCAUAGUUAAGAAGGCAGUAGUCCUUCGUGCCAAAAUUGUUGACGAAGCUCAAAUUUCUGCUUAAAAGCCCGCUGAAAAAUGAAAUUUUCUUGGAAGCGUGUAACAUGUCAGUUUGAAACUACUAAAUGUAGUGCUUUGUGCCAAACAUUUUACUUAGCACAUAUUUUUUGGUAUUUAUGAAAUCUUCAAAACUGACAUUUCAUGUUUCAAAGCCACUGAAACAUCAUGUGAAAGGGAGCAUUUUUUGUGGAAAAAAAGCAAUUCACAGAUUUGUUCCUACUCAAAGACGUCAAUUUUGUUGGGGUAGUGUCAUCAAAACUUGUUAAAUUUAAUCCAUGUAAGAAGAAAAAUAUCAAAAAUGGAAAGAAAAAGAGUAAAAAAAGAAGCCAAACUCUUCAAUCUGCUUUGAAGAAGUCCCUGGUUUGCCAAGAGGGAAAACCACACUGUUAGAUUGCUCGGUGGAUGAUGCAUCCGGGCCAUUCACUCCAAUCACAUGGGAGACACACACACACAUGCAACCUGUUCAAGGAACGAAGCAGAGUUCUGCCCCACGAGUUAGUUGAACUUAAAAUUCAAGAGUUAAAAAUGCCACUGUAUGAAUAACUUUAACUACCGCACCACUUUCCCUGACACUACCUGCUGCUGUCAGGUACGCCUAGCACAGUUCACUGUCUGGCACUUUUUCCUUGACAGUUUGCCUGCCACAUUGACGUAAUAUGGUGUAUGAAAAACCUCAACCCCGUCGAAGGCUCUUUUCCUGAGAGCAGGGGGGCCGAGGUUUCCUGUACAAAGAAAAUUCAGUCACAUUUUUAAAGACAUCCUUCAUCAUUGGUCAAAAGCCCAGAGGGGAAAAGUAAUAUACGGAUGGACAAGGUGGGAGCAAAAUUGAUAUGUGUGACCCUCAAUCGGAGGAGUGAAUGGCCUGGGAGAUUGGGUAGCCAAUCUGUCUGUCAGUAUCCUAUACAGAAACUGUGGCAUCGACACGGGGAGCCAGUCCCGGCUACAAGGUCCAUGGUAAGUUCAAUUGAAGUUUGUAGAAUUGAUUCGUGCACUGGUGUGAACAAACAUGGUUGUACAUCCUAAUGUCUCUAAACCCAACUUUGUAUCUCAUGGCUAGGAGUAGGACUGUAGUCUGUAUGAACAAGGUGGUAAUGUGCAGAUGGUCUUCAGUCUAAGGCAGUACACAGUGGCGUAGCUGAUGGGUGGGGCAUGCGGAACUCAAGUAAAAGUCACUGAUAAUUUGAUCAGCCAUUGCGAACUUGCUACCAAUGAAUAAUAUAAGCUAAAGCAGGCAAACCUGGCUGUUAAACUGACUGGUUAAAAACUGACUAGCUGACCAUUUAUUCCUUUCUAAAAACAGCUGCACAUAGUUACAGUGUGUUGCUCACUCUGAUAUUUGGCAGAAUCAGCAGCAGCUAUAUGUUGUCAGUGCAGUUUAUUCGUGACUGCUCAGUAAACCCGUACAUGUACAUCAAUCCUGUGAAUAUUAUGCUGUGCUUGUUUAACUUCUGCAAUGCUCGUACAGCGGCAGUGGUCAGGAGAAGAGACCAAACUUUUGCAUGAGCCUGACAACCAGUUGCCUUCAGAAUGGCUGUGUGCAGUCUGUGAGAUAUCCAGCCAUUAUGAAUCACAGAAAAACAGCAGUUAACUUUGACAAGAUAGAUCAGAAUUCUGGUAGAAUUCUUGAGAUGCACUGGCAAAUGCUCUUAACUGCUGAGCAUUGACCCAAAUUGUCUGUGGUUUUGGUGUUCAGUCGUGGAGGAGCCUUUUCAGUGGCUGUAGCAAGCAACCCUCCUUCACACUGGUUCCAGGAGGCACAUGUAGAACCAAUCAGUAGGUCCUGGUAUCAAGAAGCUAAUGGCCAGAUGUCGGGAAUUAGCAAAUUGUGUGUGUUAUGCCUGCAACUGGACCCACCCCCACCCUCAGCUACGUCACAAACACGACUAAACAUAAAACGAAACCACAGGAAAUGCCUGUUGGUGUUUUGUUUGGAAGAAUCUUGAUCAAGGCUGCGAUAACAUUUCUUUUCUCAUUUUCAAGCACAAAGAAGUGUUGGAAUAUUCUUUGGUUCGAGAACCUCAUAAUUUGGCCGUAGAUAAUCCCUUGGCAAAUCAGAAAGCACGAGAGACUGUAAAAAAAUGGUUAACCAUCCAUUUCAAAGAUGCACUCUCAAUGUUAAAAUGAACAAGUCAUAUGAUGUGUCUAAUGUAAGGCAUCACAGUAUACCUGAAGCAGUUCAACAAACCUUGGCCAGAUGGAAGUUGAUGAAGCAAGGGCUUAGCGCCGAAGCCCAAAAGGCAGUUGCUUGAGAAUCGCUGUCUAAUUUCUGGUCUUUCUGUAAUGACUACAACCUCCAGCAUCGAACCUAGUCCAUCAUUCACAGAAGGCUUAACUCGCAUUUGCCUAAAUGUCCACCAGACAGGUAUGGGGCUUAUUGUUGAAGCCUUUUAACCCCAGCAAGGUCUUGCCAUGCAUGGCUUGAUUUCUAGUGUCUCUUGUACGGGGAUUCUUUCUGCAGUUGUGUUAUCAGUGCCUCAAUCAAGACCGAUCAAAAAGGAAAUGCUUUUGUCCAGUCCUAACAUUCACUUAGAAACAAACUUUCUCAAGUAAGAUUUAUUAAAUCUUCCGAUCAUCCCAAUACUGUUUGCCAUAUUUGGAAAAGAACCUCAAAGACUGUCAACAGUCAGUACUGCUUUAGACUGAAGUCCAUCACGUUCCAUGCAUUUUUGUCUUAAAAAACAUAGGAAGGUCUGUUCAUGACAGGGAUCACCUAUUUUGGUGGUGAAAUAGUUCCAUUUGAAAUAGUGCCGUCUAACAGAAGUUGUUACAUGUCUUUGUUUGAAUAAAGUCAUGGAAAACAAAUAACUAAGAAUAUCCGAAGGCCAGUUUUAAUGGUGAGGAUGCCCUUUCGCAACAGUAUUUCUGGCUGUGUGUCAUGGAAUGAUUUGUGUGCAAUUCAAAGGCUACACCACCUCAUUAAAUUUAAUUGUGCUGUUUUAUCGAUUGUAUAUUGACAGGAAAAUUUGCAGAUGUGUCGUCAUAUUUUUGGCGGUCUUGGUGCCCUGUUAUUUACUUACCAAAAACAUUUUUCUCUAAACAUCCUCGACCCCAUCUGCAUAAAUUUUGUUUUGGCAAGAAGGAAGAUUAAGAAAUAUCAAACAAAAUGUGGUUAUCUUUUGAGCUGAACGUAUUGGUGAUCCCUUUUUCUGGACAGAUCCAGGAUCAAUUUUCAUCUUUUAGCUUAAAUCUAGAAUGGAAAGCACCUGUGUUCCAUUUUCAAACCUCACGUUUUGGUAGAAGCUCGUGGCCAAGUCCAAGUCAAGUUUAUCUUGUCUGGUCACUUUUCAGUUUAGAGUCAAGAUGGUCAAGUCUGAGGUAGAGUUAUUUAACAUUCCUAAUUCAGGAGACGAGAGUUUUCGCCCAUGUAACCCUUGUAACUUCAUUAGCAGUGAAUCUACUAUAAAUCCACCUUUUCCAUUUUGGAAAAACAGUAUUUUUACUAUCCUAAGUAAUUAAAAAAGAACCAUAAGCAUCAGCCAGAUAUGCCUAUAAUUUGAUUACAUACCACUCAUUAUGUGAUUUCCCAGUUAGAAAGUAUAAAUUUGUUCCAAAACGAUCUCCAUAUCACUAAAAAUAGGUUCAAAAGGCAGUGAUCUUGGUUUCCUACUUCUGAAUUUUUGGCUGUUCAAAAGUAAAUUGAUUGGUGACUGAUAUCUAAUCUGUGAUACAGAUGUUAUUGAAGCCUCAGAUGAAUCUAGAGUGCACCAGUUUUAAGCUUUCACCAAUGAUAUUUGAAGAGUCUUAUUGACACAAGUUAAGAGAGGGAAGUUCCAAAGUUUUUUCAACAUUAAUCGCGAUGAACUGACAGGUUACGGACGCCUUCUUGACAAAGAGCUCCUUCAAAAGGAAUCAGAGCUUGAACUCAUAGGAGAAUUGCGUACAUAGUAUAUGUCUGUGGGUUUUCACUCACGUCUUACUUCAGCUGCAGUUUAUACUGUUACCCGUAUGUCUUCCUCUUUAAGAGGAGGCAGAAGGAAGUUCAGUAAGUGUUAGUAUAUUUUGCCAGGUUCGAAUUUUAAUUGAAAAUACAUGUACAGAUCGCAAAGUCAAAGGACAGUUUCUUGCAGUCGUUUGUUGGCAAGUUUAUUGGUCCCCUGAAAGGAACAAGUUUACAGAUGACGCGCAUGUCUGUAACUAUGGGUCAGGGUCUUCAUUAUGUUCUGCAGCUUCAUACCACAGAAUAACAAGGAAACAAAUUUCUAAUGUUCAAAGGUCAUGGUUAUUUGUUUGAGGCAGGUCCUGGGAAAAUCACAGAUUUGAACAAGGGAAUGAGACAGUUGAACAAAGUUAUUGUGUUUGCCAACGGGUAUUUGUGCACAUACAUGUACCUGGUCCUAUCUAGUAGUAUGUUCUUUUAUACUGUAUAGAGUCUGAAACCUACUCAAAAGAUGCCAAAGUACCACAUGACCGCAUGAUUCACCCAGCGUUGUCAAAAGUUAUAGACUAGACCGUGAAGGUUUUUUUUUUUUUUCGUGUAAAACAAGAGUGACGUCUGCCUAAUCUCAAUCAAUCGUACCAAUCCAGAACAGGGUGCGGGCCCUGAGUUAUUCGCACACAUUACCAUCAAAGCGUUGCAUACUUGCAUACUGUGUAGAUACUGUGCAUUGCAUUGUGGUUUUUGCCUGCAACAUUGAUGGACACACAUUAAUUAGGUCACAUCGGUCAGUGAAAGUGCCCUGUUGAUGCUACACGCUGUUCUCUAGUUUCCUGUCAUUUUUUUUUUCAGAUCUGCAUUUUUUCCAAAUUGUCAAACCUUAUCAAGCGUGAAAUAAGGCACUGUUUCCUGGAGUCCAUUUCUGCAUUGUGGCAUUUGUUGCACAAUUUUGUGUUCUUCCGAACUUCCAUUUUUGGGGCUUACUGAAAAAAUACACUUUCCAGAUAUUUGAUUCACUUCAUAAACACGAUGUUUUGGUAGCAAAGUUUAAAUCAUGUCUACUUAACUUGGCAUCAGAUAUUGGAUAGAAUGUAGUAUAUCUGCUGGCAAAUUUAUCAAGGAUCACAGUAAACUUUAAUUCAGUGUUGGCACAGAUUUUGUAAAAAGUGGCCAAAGAAUCUGUACUUGUAUAAAUUACACAUUUAGCAGUGUCGGAGUUCCUACAUGUACAUGUACAAACCAGUACCUGUACGUAUUUAUGAUAUGGGUUACUGUCCAUUGCCACCUGUUUUUCCCAGGGCCUGCCUAGGUCAGCAUGUGAGCAUGUACAUUGCCUGCCUUAUGCAGACAAGCCUAUUCCAUUUAUGCCAUGAGAUUCUGUGGGUUUAGGGAGUAUUAAUGAGGAUGUGCAACCAUACAUUGUACAGUGCAUGAAUUAAUGAAAACUUCAAUUGAAUUUAGCAUGGAGUACGGGACAGGCUAACCCCGUGUCAUUGGAUGCUGCAGUUUCUACGGAUACUGACUGGCAGAUUGUUACUGUAUCAUCCACUGAGUCAUGGAGCAGUGCUGUGGUUUUUCGGAAUAGGAUACGAGGACAAAGCAUGUGAAAAAUGUUCUUGUAAAAAAAAAGUUUAUUAAAGCAGUAUUUAUUCAAACAUUUAGGUGUCCCAAAAGCAACUGAAAGAGGGAUUACCGUAAAAAAAAAGAUGAGCUAAUAUGUUUUGAUUGCAAAGAAAGGUUUGGCUUAUAAUUUUUUGACAGUGUGUUGGAAAAUGCGUGGAAAAUGUCACAUUCACAAUACAGUCAAGUUCCAUUACCAAGUUCAUAAAUGUGAGAGUAUUCAUCAAUGGUACCGUGCAUUCAUUGAACGAAUUAAACUGAGAGUUAUGAUGGCAUUGCCCCACUGUUUUGAAAGCCAUUCGGAACGCCUCGAUAUAAGAGUUCCUAAAAAAACAUUGUUUAAAUAUUGGUUAUAACAUAGCCUCUAACACGUGCAUGUAAAUUUGAGCUUCAAAAACUCAGCAUUGUUUAAAUGUUUCAAAAUGUCAUACAUGUGCAUUGAAAAAUGGCAGUCUCGAAAAAACUGUGUAAACUUCUAAAUUAGAAUGCCUUUCUAGGUAUUCAGUGGGAAUUGAAAUCUUUGCAGAUUGAAUUUGGCAAUGUUUUUGUCACCAAAAGUCAAACUUGCACUCUUCCCCGUUUCCUCUAUGCUACUUGCAAAAAAGUUUCUCGGAAACAGACAAUACUUGUAAACUGCGAAGCGUUUUUUGGAAAUUUCUGCGUUUGUUACAUUAACAUAUUGAUGAAGAACUUAUGUGCGGCGGAUGUAUAAGACAGCAUUGUCAUUCCGAAUGAGGGCAAAUUCAAUUGAUGUAACAUCUUUUGACACUUUGAAACGUCCAAGGAAACUCGCCAGAAACAAAACCAUUUGUAUCUUUUGUUUAAUUGGAUCAAAAGACAAGAUGGAACUGAACAUCUGAAUUGCUCAUGGAACAAUCAAGGGAAGAUGCAGUGUCUCUUUUUACUGUCAUUCUCCAAGUAGAUGGUGGGUUUCCAUGGAAACGUGCGGCGUAUACAUAACCCAAAGCAGCAUCUGCUUGGUAGAAAAAUGAACUGAUUGUCAGAGUUCAUAGAAUCCUUAUUAUGUAGGUGUCUACUUGGGUUUUCCAUGAUUGCUCAGAUACUUGCAGGUUUUUGGGGGGGUUUGUGUACUUUUAUCAGUGGUUGAUCACAAGUUGAUGUGGAUAGUUGGGUGACUGCCACUUGUUGGAGUCUGUGGGCAGGGAACAUGCGUGUGCGCACCAGGAGGGCCUGCAUGUGGCUGGGCUUUUUUUUUUGGCCAGUUCAAAGGUCAAAGUUCAAAGGUCAGGUCAAAGGUCAGGUCAAGGUUGAAAGGUCAGGUUAAAGUUGAAGCUUGAAAUAGAAAGACCAAUAAAAACUUAAAGGUACCAGAUGCACUUUCUCUUUGGCUUCUUUAUUCCGUACUCAUUUGUAAAAUUCAAUUAAUAGAGCGCCCUCUAUUUGUAUACAGCAUUUCCCCACUAACACCAGAGGGCGUUGUCUCUGC